rnacentral:rRNA from 1 species
UCCAAUCGAACUCGGAGAUAGCUGGUUCUCCCCGAAAUAGCUUUAGGGCUAGCGUCGGAUAUGUGUAGUGGAGGUAGAGCACUGAAUGGGCUAGGGGGCAUAUCGCUUACCGAACCUUAUCAAACUCCGAAUGCCAUAUACAUUUAGUCCGGCAGUCAGACUACGAAUGAUAAGAUCCGUGGUCAAAAGGGAAACAGCCCAGAUCGUCAGCUAAGGUCCCAAAGUGUAAGUUAAGUGGAAAAGGAUGUGGGAUUUCUAAGACAACUAGGAUGUUGGCUUAGAAGCAGCCACUCAUUUAAAGAGUGCGUAAUAGCUCACUAGUCGAGAGAUCCUGCGCCGAAAAUGUCCGGGGCUCAAACUUACCACCGAAGCUACGGGCUUGCGUAAGCAAGCGGUAGGGGAGCGUCGUAAUCGGGCUGAAGUCGUACCGUAAGGAGCGGUGGACUGAUUACGAGUGAGAAUGUUGGCAUUAGUAGCGAGAUGUAGGUGAGAAUCCUACAGGCCGAAUAUCUAAGGUUUCCUCAGGAAGGCUCGUCCGCUGAGGGUUAGUCGGGACCUAAGCCGAGGCCGAAAGGCGUAGGCGAUGGACAAUCGGUUGAUAUUCCGAUACCACUACCAUCGUUAUUAUCGAGGGUGUGACGGAGAAGGAUAGUGUGUGCUAGCGAUUGGAAAUGCUAGUCUAAGCGUUUAGGGAGUUACGGUAGGCAAAUCCGCUGUAACAAUUCUGAGGCGUGAUGGGGAAGGCCAUAUAGGCCGAAGUACAUGAUUCCAUGCUUCCAAGAAAAGCAUCUAGAGAGAGAAGUAGUGCCCGUACCGCAAACCGACACAGGUAGAUGAGGAGAGAAUCCUAAGGCCGGCGGAAGAAUUGCAGUUAAGGAACUAGGCAAAUUGACCCCGUAAGUUCGCGAGAAGGGGUGCCUGCGAGAGCAGGCCGCAGAGAAUAGGCCCAAGCAACUGUUUAGCAAAAACACAGGUCUCUGCUAAAGCGUAAGCUGAUGUAUAGGGGCUGACGCCUGCCCGGUGCUGGAAGGUUAAGGGGAACACUUAGCGCAAGCGAAGGUGUGAACUUAAGCCCCAGUAAACGGCGGCCGUAACUAUAACGGUCCUAAGGUAGCGAAAUUCCUUGUCAGGUAAGUUCUGACCCGCACGAAUGGCGUAAUGACUUGGGCACUGUCUCAACUGCAAAUCCGGCGAAGUUGUAGUGCGAGUGAAGAUGCUCGCUACCCGCGAUUGGACGGAAAGACCCCGUAGAGCUUUACUGUAGCUUAGCAUUGAAUUCCGGUAUUGUCUGUACAGGAUAGGUGGGAGACUGGGAAACUAGGGCGUCAGCCUUAGUGGAGUCAACCUUGGGAUACCACCCUGACAGUACUGGGGUUCUAACAGGACGCCAUGAAUCUGGUGACUGGACAUUGUUAGGUGGGCAGUUUGACUGGGGCGGUCGCCUCCUAAAAAGUAACGGAGGCGCCCAAAGGUUCCCUCAGAACGGUCGGAAAUCGUUCGUAGAGUGCAAAGGCAGAAGGGAGCCUGACUGCGAGACAUACAAGUCGAGCAGGGACGAAAGUCGGGCUUAGUGAUCCGGUGGUACCUCGUGGGAGGGCCAUCGCUCAACGGAUAAAAGCUACCUCGGGGAUAACAGGCUGAUCUCCCCCAAGAGUCCACAUCGACGGGGAGGUUUGGCACCUCGAUGUCGGCUCGUCGCAUCCUGGGGCUGUAGUAGGUCCCAAGGGUUGGGCUGUUCGCCCAUUAAAGCGGCACGCGAGCUGGGUUCAGAACGUCGUGAGACAGUUCGGUCCCUAUCCGUCGCGGGCGUAGGAAAUUUGAGAGGAGCUGUCCUUAGUACGAGAGGACCGGGAUGGACUGACCUCUGGUGCACCAGUUGUUCCGCCAGGAGCAUGGCUGGGUAGCUAAGUCGGGAAGGGAUAAACGCUGAAAGCAUCUAAGCGUGAAGCCUCCCUCAAGAUGAGAUUUCCCAUAGCAUAAGCUAGUAAGACCCCUUGAAGAACACAAGGUUGAUAGGUCAGAGGUGUAAGUGUGGUAACAUAUUUAGCUGACUGAUACUAAUAGGUCGAGGGCUUGACCAA